rnacentral:rRNA from 1 species
UACGGAGGUGGCAAGCGUUGCUCGGAAUCACUGGGCGUAAAGGGCGCGUAGGCGGGGAGGUAAGUCGGGUGUGAAAUCCCUCGGCCCAACUGAGGAACUGCGCUCGAGACUGCUUCUCUUGAGUCCCGGAGAGGAAGAUGGAAUUCCCGGUGUAGCGGUGAAAUGUGUAGAGAUCGGGAGGAACACCGGUGGCGAAGGCGGUCUUCUGGACGGUGACUGACGCUGAGGCGCGAAAGCGUGGGGAGCAAACGGG